GUUUGAUUAUGGCUCAGGAUGAACGCUAGCUACAGGCUUAACACAUGCAAGUCGAGGGCAGCAUGAGAUUAGCUUGCUAAUCUUGAUGGCGACCGGCGCACGGGUGAGUAACGCGUAUCCAACUUCCCCUGCUCAGGGAUAGCCCGGUGAAAACCGGAUUAAGACCUGAUAGUUUCACUAGAUGGCAUCUGACGGUGAAUAAAGGUUUCGGCAUGGGAUGGGAUGCGUCUGAUUAGCUUGUUGGCGGGUAACGGCCACCAAGGCGACGAUCAGUAGGGGUUCUGAGAGGAAGGUCCCCCACAUUGGAACUGAGACACGGUCCAAACUCCUACGGGAGGCAGCAGUGAGGAAUAUUGGUCAAUGGGCGGAAGCCUGAACCAGCCAAGUAGCGUGCAAGGAAGACGGCCCUAUGGGUUGUAAACUGCUUUUGUAUGGGAAUAAAGUCAGGGACGUGUCCCUGUUUGCAUGUACCAUAAGAAUAAGGACCGGCUAAUUCCGUGCCAGCAGCAGC
rnacentral:rRNA from 1 species